rnacentral:rRNA from 1 species
GACGAACGCUGGCGGCGUGCCUAAUACAUGCAAGUAGAACGCUGAAGCGAGGAGCUUGCUCUUCUUGGAUGAGUUGCGAACGGGUGAGUAACGCGUAGGUAACCUGCCUUGUAGCGGGGGAUAACUAUUGGAAACGAUAGCUAAUACCGCAUAACAAUGGAUGACCCAUGUCAUUUAUUUGAAAGGGGCAAAUGCUCCACUACAAGAUGGACCUGCGUUGUAUUAGCUAGUAGGUGAGGUAACGGCUCACCUAGGCGACGAUACAUAGCCGACCUGAGAGGGUGAUCGGCCACACUGGGACUGAGACACGGCCCAGACUGCUACGGGAGGCAGCAGUAGGGAAUCUUCGGCAAUGGGGGCAACCCUGACCGAGCAACGCCGCGUGAGUGAAGAAGGUUUUCGGAUCGUAAAGCUCUGUUGUAAGUCAAGAACGAGUGUGAGAGUGGAAAGUUCACACUGUGACGGUAGCUUACCAGAAAGGGACGGCUAACUACGUG